CAAUAGCGUAUAUUAAAGUUGUUGCGGUUAAAAGCUCGUAGUUGGAUUUCUGUUGAGGGUGGCCAGUCCGCACUUUGUGCGUGUAUUUGGUUCAGCCUCGGCAUCCUCCUGGGGAGCGUUUCUGUACUUGAUUGUAUGGGACGUAAUUCAGGACUUUUACUUUGAGGAAAUUAGAGUGUUCACGGCAGGCGUUCGCCUUGAAUAUGUUAGCAUGGAAUAAUAAUAUAAGACCUCGGUUUUAUUUUGUUGGUUUCUAGAAGCGGGGUAAUGAUUAAUAGGGACAAUUGGGGGUAUUCGAAUUAACGCGUCAGAGGUGGAAUUCUUGGAUUGCGUUACGACGAACUACUGCGAAAGCAUUUACCAAGGAUGUUUUCAUUGAUCAAGAACGAAAGUCAGGGGAUCGAAGACGAUCAGAUACCAU
rnacentral:rRNA from 1 species